rnacentral:lncRNA from 1 species
CUUAGCCUUUGGCCGAGGUACUGCCUCUCACGGAGUCUUGGUUUCCUGGCCAUAUCCCUGUCUGCUUCAAGGAUGCAUGUAAAGGAGCUGUACAAACUGUGGAGGGCCAUGGCCCGGAGCCCUGCUGAAGACUUGUUCUGGGCGGCUGUGAUUGUCCCAUGCUGGUGUCUCUUCUGGCCUGGGGACUUGGAAGGCAAGCUUCCUGCUCGCAGAGUUGGGCCCUGGGGACAGAAUCUCAAUAAACACUGUGGAACGAAUGGAAGGAAGAAGCAAACUUUAGCAUGUUCCACCUCACUCCAGCUCACUAUGAUCCUGGUCCUUACUCGGAGCCAGAAAGAACCGAAGCUAAAUGUCAGCUGGAUCACAGCAGGUGAGGAGAUGGGGGGGCGGGUGUCACUGAGAAUUCUGAGAGACUCAGUCUUCGCUCAUUUAGCUCUGUGUGGCUAAGUGUGGCUUUUCCUCCUAAUGCUUAUCCCUGCUGGGCCUCAUGCUCCAUUUCUUUUGUUUGUUUGUUUUUUUAAUUUUUUUUUCAUGUUUUAUUUAUUUUUGAUACAGAGAGAGACAGAGCAUGAGAGGAGGAGGGGCAGAGAGAGAAGGAGACACAGAACCGGAAGCAGGCUCCAGGCUCUGAGCUAGCUGUCAGCACAGAGCCUGACGCAGGGCUCGAACCCACAAACGUGAGAUCAUGACCUGAGCCGAAGUCGGAGGCUUAGCUGACUGAGCCACCCAGGCGCCCCUCAUGCUCCAUUUCUGACCUUCCUUCCAAAGGCAGUAAGGCGACUCUGAAGAGGCUUUGGUGCCCUGCCAUAACCAAGACCCUCAACUCCACCACCCAGCUGGCCCCACGCCUCCACCCAGCUGCCUCCAGCUGGCCUUGUCCAUCCCUGCUGAGCCCCCAUGUGCAGAGAUGGGGGCUUCUCUGUUUUUCAGACUUGAUGCUGUGCUCCCCACAUGGCCUGGGGCUCAUGCACACACCCCCAAGCUAGGUCACUAGGUGAGGGUGAGUCCUGAGACUGGUGGACCUCGUCACGAGUGAUGUAAGUGUAGCUUCUGUGGGCAGGACCCUCCCUCGGUGGACCCUGGCUCAUCUCCAGCAUUCCCAUUCUCAGUCUCUGCAAACAGGGGAUCAGAAGCCUGUCUGAAACCUCAGGGUGGCCUAUGCACUGGAUGUCCCCUUCCUGCUCUUCCACUGUGCAAGUUUGCCCACGAAGAGCUGAGAUGGUGAUGUGGCGGUGGGAGGCGGGGAGUGGUUCCUCCAAACACCACCCUGCCCAGGAGGGAAGGGGUCAAGGAAGUGGUGCUAAGGGGUUGACAAGCAGAGGGACUGAGGCAGCCGGGGUCUUCAUUGCACUGGGGAUGGUCUCCUCGCCUCAAGACCCUGAAUCUUCUCCUCAGAGGUCUUGUCUGGGAGCAGCACCUCCACAGUGUAGCUGAUCUUCUUGGUGUGCAUCAGGCUGUAGGUGUUGUCGAAGCGCAGGACGUCUGCAAAGGUGGAGAAGCCGUCAAGCAAAGUAAACCUGACUCAUCUGCGCAUCUGGUGCCUUUGGGAAUGGGCCCAGGGCUGUGGGUGGUGGAGGGCCAGCCACUACGCAGCCCCCAGCCCACCACUCAAGACCAUCUCGUGCCAACUAAAGGAAUAAUAACCGCAGCAUGCACCAGCCCCUUCCAUGUGCCAGGCAUCACAUCUGUGCUCACAGCUUUCUGAAUCCUCAAA